rnacentral:rRNA from 1 species
UGGGGAAUAUUGCACAAUGGGCGGAAGCCUGAUGCAGCGACGCCGCGUGAGGGAUGACGGCCUUCGGGUUGUAAACCUCUUUCAGUAGGGACGAAGCGUAAGUGACGGUACCUGCAGAAGAAGCACCGGCUAACUACGUGCCAGAAGCCGCGGUAAUACGUAGGGUGCGAGCGUUGUCCGGAAUUACUGGGCGUAAAGAGCUCGUAGGCGGUUUGUCACGUCGUCUGUGAAAUCCUAGGGCUUAACCCUGGACGUGCAGGCGAUACGGGCUGACUUGAGUACUACAGGGGAGACUGGAAUUUCUGGUGUAGCGGUGGAAUGCACAGAUAUCAGGAAGAACACCGAUGGCGAAGGCAGGUCUCUGGGUAGUAACUGACGCUGAGGAGCGAAAGCAUGGGUAGCGAACAGG